rnacentral:rRNA from 1 species
GUCCAUGCCGUAAACGAUGUCUACUAGCCGUUGGGCCUUUGAGGCUUUAGUGGCGCAGCUAACGCGAUAAGUAGACCGCCUGGGGAGUACGGUCGCAAGACUAAACUCAAAGGAAUUGACGGGGACCCGCACAAGCGGUGGAUGAUGUGGAUUAAUUCGAUGCAACGCGAAGAACCUUACCUGGUCUUGACAUGUACGGAAUCUCUUAGAGAUAGGAGAGUGCCUUCGGGAGCCGUAACACAGGUGCUGCAUGGCUGUCGU